UGCAUGCGUGUUAGUUAUCUGCCUUUCGCUCGUCGCAGGGUUCAUGUCCACCAGAGGAGCCCAGGACUCUCAGACCUGCCCAACAUGCUGAGACGUUCUGGGGCCCCGCCAGACACAUGUAUACCACAGUUCUUUCAAAGAGCACCCUCCUUUCCAAACUGUCCCCAGAAAGCUUUGAGAAUCAGUGAGAGUCACUGCUCAGAAAGGAAGAUUUUUCUUCAGCAGGUUCAGUCCAAGAGGCAGCCAGCCGCAUGAGGAAUGUUCCUGCGUCAUUUCUAAAGCAGCUGUGGACGAUGUUGGUCUGGGCCACCAGGGUUGCUCUCCCCCCGGGCCUGACCCGUGUUCUGGAGUCUUUUAUGAAUUGGCUGGCAAGAAUAUCUGACUAGUGUAUCAACUUUUAGGAGUAAAGCAUCCCAGGACUCUCCGCCGGGACUAUUUAGGUCUUCCAUACCCAAGAGAAGGCAUUUUUAAGAAUGAUCUCUGCAUCAGUUUGUUAACUGCUGAGUAACAAGUUAGCACAAAUGCAGCAACUUAAAACAACACACACAUUUAUCAUCUCACAGGUUCCAUUGGUCAGAAGACAUGGUACGGCUUAGCUGGGUCUUCGGCGCAAGAGCUCGCAAAACUGAAACCAAGGUCUAGGCUGGGUUGUAGUCUCAUCAGGAGGCUCACCUGGGGAAAGAUCCACUUCCAAGCUCACUGGGUUGUGGCCAAAGUCAUUUCCUUGUGGCCGUGUGACCAAGGUCCCUGGCUUUUCUGCUGGCUGGGAGCUGGAGGCCACCCUUAGGUCCUGGAAGCCACCCCCCCUCCCCCACCCCAGUUUCUUGCCACAUGGGCUUUCCCAACAUGGCUGCCAACUUCAUCAGGCCAGUGGGGAGAAACACUCACUCUGGCCUGGAGUUUUAUAUAAAACUCCAUAAUCAUUUGAUUGAAAGCUUAUCAGCCUUUCCUUAUAACAACCUAACCAUGGAAGCGACAUCCCAUCAGCCCUACCCUACUCCGUUGGGUAGAAACAAGUCACAGAUUCUACCAGGGUGGAUAUUAUUUGGGUGACCUUGGGAUUCUUCCUCCACAAUCCUUCACACCUUGGUGAAUCAGCCUGCAUGUACUCACCUCUAUUGAAGAGGGAGCUCCUCCUACUCCAUGCCAGGCAGCACACACACUGGUCUCUGCAGACAGCCAAGUAGGGAUGAUGGGCCUAUGAGCAGAUAACGGCCCUAUGGUAAGGCACAUGCCAAAGGCUGCAUGUUUGAAGGGGUGGGGUCACAUAGGAUAGAGUGUCUCCUUGGGCUGGGAGGGCAGGGCAGGGCAGAGGGUCAGCGAGGGCUUCCCAAAGGAGCGGACACUGGCGCAGCCUUGAUGGAUCAGUAGGACGUUGAGGAAGACAGAAAUGGUGGCAGAGAAGUCCAAGAUGUGGAGGCAAAAAGGCAAGGGGGGUCUGGGGAGGUAUGAGUGAUCCGGUGUGACCAAUACAAGCACCCUGAGGAGAUGGGGGUGACGCUAAAUUACUGAGGGACUUAUAGGCCAGGCUUAGAGGUGUCUUCCUUCUGGGGUCCAUGGAAGGUCACCAUGAUGCCAUAACUGGGGAACUGGGGACAAUGGCAUGAUAAGCUUGGGGCUUCAGAGAGAGAGGACUUCCAGCAGGAGGCUGAGCUGGGAAGUCACUGUGGGCAGAAGACAAGCCUGGCUCGUCUGUACUAAAGAGGGCCCCCUCCCCGCUCUCCCGCACAGAAACCUCGGGGAAGGCAGACCUUCUUAGAGCCAUUUCAGGCAGCCAGGUUGUCAGAAUGAUGAGUUCUGCAGCCUAGCAGUUCUGAACCAAAGGAGAAAAAAGUCCCAACAAGCCCCAUCUCACUGCCCUUGACCUUGUAGUAGAGUUCUAAGUGCAAAAUCUGUCAUCUAUUAAUCUGUUAGAAGUUGACAAAAGGGACUUUGAUCAGAGGUUGUUUUUCCCCCUUCUUAAGUUUCCUGAUGACACAUAAUAGCCCAUUUCAGCCUGAGGGCCGGAAGCACGGCCCUCAUUCUGCUCACUUCAACCCCAGUGGCCUCCCGCCCCGUGGCUUUCUCCCCGCCCCGAUAUUAAUUGGCCUGUAAGUGGUUACAUGUGUUCCUUUUUAUGUGUCAGUUGGAGUCUGUUAUUUGAACUUCACAGCUAUUUGGGAACACAGGAGUGAUGCUCUGGGCCCAAGUUGGGAAAUGGAACAGUCCAGAAUUUGUUGUGCUGGCUCCUACCUCCCGAUUUUUUUUCUUCCUCUAUCCCUUGAGGUCUUGAUGUCCCCCGCCACCACCCCCGCUCCCUCCCUAUCAUGCUCCUCUGCGUGAGGCCCCCUGACACAACACGGCAGCCCAGCUCUUGGAACCAUGAAGUUCACAGCCAAGAGAAGCCUCGGGGAACCCCAAACUGUAGCUUCUGGUUUUAAAGAAAUUAAAAGCCCUG